GACGAACGCUGGCGGCGUGCCUAAUACAUGCAAGUCGAACGCAGUGGGGACGGGUGAGUAACACGUGGGUAACCUCCCAUCAGAGGGGAUAACACUUGGAAACAGGUGCUAAACCGAUACUGAUGGAUGGACCCGCGGGGCAUUAGCUAGUUGGUGAGGUAACGGCUCACCAAGGCCACGAUGCAUAGCCGACCUGAGAGGAUGAUCGGCCACACUGGGACUGAGACACGGCCCAGACUCCUACGGGAGGCAGCAGUGGGGAAUAUUCGGCAAUGGACGAAAGUCUGACCGAGCAACGCCGCGUGAGUGAAGAAGGUUUUCGGAUCGUAAAACUCUGUUGUUAGGGAAGCGUUAUCUAACCAAAAAGCCACGGCUAACUACGUGCCAGCAGCCGCGGUAAUUC
rnacentral:rRNA from 1 species